UAAAGUUUUCUUAAGUCAAACCUUUUAAAGUUUAACAAAAUUUAUAGAAAAGAGCACCAAAAUUUAUGGCACUAGUAUAAAAUGUUGUCAUAAUAUGCUGAUUUGGUAUCAUAAAUACUUGUGCUCUUUUCUACAAAUUCAAUCAAACGUAAAAAAAGUUUUGAUUUAAAAUAACUCUA
rfam:Sorghum bicolor cultivar BTx623 chromosome 7, whole genome shotgun sequence.